rnacentral:rRNA from 1 species
GACGUAGGGCGCAAGCGUUGUCCGGAUUUAUUGGGCGUAAAGAGCUCGUAGGCGGUGUGUCGCGUCGGCCGUGAAAACCUGGGGCUCAACUCUGGGCGUGCGGUCGAUACGGGCAUCACUGGAGUUCGGCAGGGAGACUGGAAUUCCUGGUGUAGCGGUGAAAUGCGCAGAUAAUCGGGAGGAACGACCAGUAGCGAAGGCGGAGCUCGCCUGGGCCACACCGUA